CAGAUAUGGAUGUCAAAAGAACCAGAUUGUGAUAUACCUAUACAAGUGAUAAUGUUGGCCUUGUAUAUAGAACUACAAUUAGGUCAUGCUGACAUUUCAAAAUCAAUAAUAAAACAGCAUUGUCCACAAUAUCGUUAGCAAUCAAGUAUUAUAUCGACUUCGAUCAUACAAGUACAUAUGAUGAAUAUUUAAAUAUUUUUAUUUAUAGAUACAAAAAUACUAAAUCUUUUAUAUCUUUCCACGUGAUUAUAUUUCUAAAAGCAAUUAUUAUGGAAGAAAAGAACUUUUCCAAUCACAGACAAGUAUAUU